GACGAACGCUGGCGGCGUGCUUAACACAUGCAAGUCGAACGGAAAGGCCCUGCUUUUGUGGGGUGCUCGAGUGGCGAACGGGUGAGUAACACGUGAGUAACCUGCCCUUGACUUUGGGAUAACUUCAGGAAACUGGGGCUAAUACCGGAUAGGAGCUCCUGCUGCAUGGUGGGGGUUGGAAAAUUUCGGCGGUUGGGGAUGGACUCGCGGCUUAUCAGCUUGUUGGUGGGGUAGUGGCUUACCAAGGCUUUGACGGGUAGCCGGCCUGAGAGGGUGACCGGCCACAUUGGGACUGAGAUACGGCCCAGACUCCUACGGGUGGCAGCAGUGGGGAAUAUUGCACAAUGGGCGGAAGCCUGAUGCAGCAACGCCGCGUGCGGGAUGACGGCCUUCGGGUUGUAAACCGCUUUCGCCUGUGUCGAAGCGUGAGUGACGGUAAUGGGUAAAGAAGCACCGGCUAACUACGUG
rnacentral:rRNA from 1 species